GUACCCCAAAUUACAGCAAAUAAGUAACUAAAAAUACAAAUAAUACCUAUUAAUAUUAACAUUACAAAUAAUAUAAACAGUAACAAAUAAAAGUGAAAAUAAAACAAGGAUGAAUAUACAUACAUUAAUAAAAAGACUGAAAAUAUAUGAGUGAAUAAACCUAAAUUUAUAACAUAAACCUAAUAAAAUACUUGAUCGAAAUCAAAGUAAAAUAAAAAGAAAAUUUACAAAAUAAGUAAAACUAUUAAAGGAGACAUAUAUAUAACACACAUGAAUUCACAGGGAUUAAUGUUGAAAUAAUCCCUGAUUUUGAAACAUUGUGUUGAAAUAUGGACUAAAACAUAAAGGUAUUUCAAAUUUUAGGGAUAAUUUAAAAGAAAAUAAAACAGAUUAAACGCAGAUGGGAGCAGAUUACAACGCGGUACAAGGAGGAGGGACCCGCCGCACAAAUACGCCAUUCCAGGAGCAAAGGCGAAAAUUGAGGGCGCGCGCAAAGGAGAGGGAUCAAUCACGAAAUUUCCCCAUUACCCCCAACCAUGCGCAUGCCCGGCCUACCAAAACGGGUUGACGCUCGGGUCAUUGCGCAAUGAAACGGCGCCGCACUGAAGAGUACCCUUAGGCCUUCAUUUACCCUUUUACUUUCCAGAACCAAAACACCUUCAUUUAUUUUUGAAAUCAGAACACAAUUUUUUGCUAAGGUUCCUUCCACAGGCGGCUGAAUCACCAUCAGAUUUGGUGUCCAGCAGCGUGCGAAACCAUUCCCGAAUCUGCUGCUAUAAAUACUCGACCACCUAUUGAAGAGUUUGGUGAGUAUUUUCCCUUCCUUCCUCUUUAUUCGAAUGAAGUUUUCAAAUCUCAGGUUAUCUUCUUUUAAAAAAAAUGAAAACAGCUUUGUAAAAUGAAUUGAGUUCCACUAUUAUGUGACCUCUUGCUCUUAUAUUUGCAUGGCAGACGUAGAGCUUUCCUUGGCCUUAAGUUAUAUAAAAGAUGAGCAAACAAAUAAGAAAAUAAAGAGAAAAGAAAAAAAAACGACAAAUCGGCAGGACAAAAAAAUGAAAUCACCUCUAUUGAUCUUGAAUCGCUUUUCUCUCUUCUCUAUGCGUGUAUACAGAUAAUGUAUCUGCAAAGUAUAUUCUGUGUGUGUGUGUGUAAAUUUGCAGGUACAAUUUCUCGGCUUUUUAUAGCCGGAUUUUACAAAGGAAAAUAAAAGAAAAUAAAUAAAUAAAAUACAUUUACUGGCUGUCAUCUGUUGUAUUCUGUUAAUUUUUCUUCUCGUGUGUUCUUUUGCAGAGCUGGUCGUACGGAGAAGAAGACCCCGGAUGAUGUGGAGGCUGGGCGCAAGGGUCUCUCGUGUGAGACCAACUUACUGGUGCCUCUCUAACUUGUUCCAGAAUCUUCUGGCAUUCACAAAAGGCUGAAACAACUUUGGGUGUAUUGGGCCUUGGGUUUUGGGCUUAUUUAGGCUAAUUUUUAUUGGAUUUUGGAGAUUUAGAAUUUGGGUCAGACAUUAUGUAAUUGGGCUAAAGAGUUUUGGGAUAUUUGGUUAGAAAAUAGGUUUAUUUUAUUUUUGGUCGUAACCAGACAUUGGACUUUUAAUUUUGGAUUUUUAUUAUUUUUGUUUUGUUUUGGUCUUGGUGUAAGCCCGGGCAAAAAUGGGCCAUUACACUAUGAAUCCCCUCUCUGGGGCUAUUACUUACAUUAUUAAAACUCAUAAACAACUGGAAUCAGACCCUACUUGUUAAUGGCUAAACUCUUGCAUGUCAUGUGUUGGUUUGUGUACUAAGACUAAGCGAAUUAGCUAUGAGAUAUAUGUCGUAUUUAAGUAUUAGUUGUUGUACGUAACUAGGUUGACUCUUAAUUCUACAGAAUUAAGAAUUAGAUUUAGCCAAUGCUUUUUCUGCUGCUAUUUUUGCAAUACGAGAUUGUCUUUCAACAUGUUUUCAUUAUUAAUUUUGUAAAUCGAUACUGAAAAUAUACAAACAAUAUCCCACAUUUUUUUAUUAUUAUAACUAAUUCUUUUUUUACAUGCAUUCUAUGUGAAUAUAAACUUUAUUAUGAUUUGAUUAA
rnacentral:lncRNA from 1 species